AUUGAACGCUGGCGGCAGGCCUAACACAUGCAAGUCGAACGAGUGGCGGACGGGUGAGUAAUGUCUGGGAAACUGCCCGAUCGGGGGGGAUCACUACUGGAAACAGUCGCUAAUACCGCAUACCAUCGGAUGAGGCAAGAUGGGAUUAGCUCGUAGGUGGGGUAACGGCUCACCUAGGCGACGAUCCCUAGCUGGUCUUAGAGGAUGACAGUCCACACUGUAACUGAGAUACGGUCCAGACUCCGACGGGAGGCAGCAGUGGGUAAGAUUGCACAAUGGGCUCAAGCCUGAUGCAGCCGUGCCGCGUGUAUGAAAAAGUCCUCCGGGUGGUAAGGUACUGACAUCUAGGAGGCGUUACUCGAAGAGGAAGCACCGGGUAACUCCGUGCCAGCAGCCGCGGUAAUAC
rnacentral:rRNA from 1 species